CCCAGACUCCUACGGGAGGCAGCAGUGGGGAAUAUUGGGCAAUGGGCGCAAGCCUGACCCAGCAACGCCGCGUGAAGGAAGAAGGCUUUCGGGUUGUAAACUUCUUUUCUCAGGGACGAAGCAAGUGACGGUACCUGAAGAAGAAGCCCCGGCUAACUACGUGCCAGCAGCCGCGGUAAUACGUAGGGGGCAAGCGUUAUCCGGAUUUACUGGGUGUAAAGGGGGCGCAGACGGCGAUGCAAGCCAGGAGUGAAAGCCCGGGGCCCAACCCCGGGACUGCUCUUGGAACUGCGUGGCUGGAGUGCAGGAGGGGCAGGCGGAAUUCCUGGUGUAGCGGUGAAAUGCGUAGAUAUCAGGAGGAACACCGGUGGCGAAGGCGGCCUGCUGGACUGCAACUGACGUUGAGGCCCGAAAGCGUGGGGAGCAAACAGGAUUAGAUACCCGGGUA
rnacentral:rRNA from 1 species